CUCUUCGCUCACCAUCACUUGCCAACCCGUGUCCCGCCAGCCUCCUCGCCAGCACCAUAGAGCGCCUUACAACUAAAUAAAGACCCGAGACCUCGCGCAAACCAGGGUGCUGCCCUUUCCAGAACCAACAGGACCCAGAACUCCGGGAAUAUGUUGGGUGCCCAGUACAGGCUGAGUGCUGGGCCCACAGCCCCGUUGGCCGGCGGGGCGCUCAGCGGCCCUCUGGAUCACCAGCCUGGGUUACUUCAUCCCGGAGCAAUUCAGACCAAUUCCGUUUCCGAAGGAAUGAGCGAAUUCCCCAGAGAGCAAUGAGCCGAGACUCAGGUAGUUGUCUGUUUUUCAUCCACAUGGUUCACAGAUGACAUAUCCCCACGUUGAGCCCUGCAACAGAGCUCGAGGCAGAUAGUCCCAUCCACACAGGAGUCACACCCAGGCCAACUGAAGCGUGAUUCUGGAUUCCACGUUUCUUUGCCCUCUGUAAAGGUGCCUGUUGCUCAAGUUUCUGCCCCCCGAAAGCGUGACCAUGUUGACUGUUUGUUUCGCGAGCUCUGUGGGGCCCCAGAAACUUCCAGGAAUGCGUGGAAGACCAGCAUCGUGUCGGUGCUCUCCUUUCCAGUUUUCAAACAGGCUAUAUUGGAG
rnacentral:lncRNA from 1 species